UACGUAGGGGGCAAGCGUUGUCCGGAUUUAUUGGGCGUAAAGAGCGUGUAGGCGGCCGUACAGGUCAGCUGUGAAAACUCGAGGCUCAACCUCGAGACGUCGGUUGAAACCGUACGGCUAGAGUCCGGAAGAGGAGAGUGGAAUUCCCGGGUGUAGCGGUGAAAUGCGCAGAUAUCGGGAAGAACACCCGUGGCGAAGGCGGCUCUUCUGGGACGGUACUGACGCUGAGACGGCGAAAGCG
rnacentral:rRNA from 1 species